rnacentral:rRNA from 1 species
GACGAACGCUGGCGGCGUGCUUAACACAUGCAAGUCGAACGAUGAAGCUCUUUCGGGGGUGGAUUAGUGGCGAACGGGUGAGUAACACGUGGGCAAUCUGCCCUGCACUUCGGGACAAGCCUUGGAAACGGGGUCUAAUACCGGAUAUGACUGCCUGGGGCAUCUUGGGUGGUGGAAAGCUUUUGCGGUGCAGGAUGGGCCCGCGGCCUACCAGCUUGUUGGUGGGGUGAUGGCCUACCAAGGCGACGACGGGUAGCCGGCCUGAGAGGGCGACCGGCCACACUGGGACUGAGACACGGCCCAGACUCCUACGGGAGGCAGCAGUGGGGAAUAUUGCACAAUGGGCGGAAGCCUGAUGCAGCGACGCCGCGUGAGGGAUGACGGCCUUCGGGUUGUAAACCUCUUUCAGCAGGGAAGAAGCUUUCGGGUGACGGUACCUGCAGAAGAAGCACCGGCUAACUACGUGCCAGCCGCCGCCGUAACAC